UUUCCGUAGGUGAACCUGCGGAAGGAUCAUUAUUGAAUAAACCUGAUGUGGUUGUAGCUGGCCCUUUCGGGAGCAUGUGCACACCCGUCGUCUUUAUCUUUCCACCUGUGCACCUUUUGUAGACCUGGAUGUAACACUUUCCGAGGCAACUCGGUCGGGAGGAAUGCUGUCAGCUUUCCUUGAAUGUCCAGGCCUAUGUUUUCAUAUACCCCAAAGAAUGUAACAGAAUGCAUUAUUGGGCCUUGUGCCCAUAAACUAUAUACAACUUUCAGCAACGGAUCUCUUGGCUCUC
rnacentral:misc_RNA from 1 species